rnacentral:lncRNA from 1 species
ACUGGUGCAUACAAACUAUUUGAUCCCACAAAUAAGAAGAUUUUGUUCAAGAAUGAUGUAAGAUUUUAUAAGACAAUGUAUUGACAUUGGAAGGAAAGUACAACAAGUGUUGGAAGACAAUUUAACUUUUCUGAUUUAGAACAGCCUGAACAAGAUGUGAAUGCAGAUGGAGAAGGUCUAAGAAAAUCCAGUAGACACAUUCAGAUUCCACAAAGGUUGAAUGAUUGUGUUAGAUUCCCAAAUUCAACAUUAAAUGAUGAAGGUGAAUUGUUGUAGUUUUCUUUACUAGCUGAAUCAAAACCGG